GAGAUAAACAUCUCAGACAUGGACAUUUUUCACAUCCUGUUCACAUUUUUCCAGGCAUGAUUUCUCUGCCUUGGCAUACAUUAGCAGAAGAGCCCUCUUUUCAAACAAAAUAUGAAAAAAAGUCAGUAUGCAGACAGGAGUGGUGCCUUGGUGGGAAGUUAGUUUCCCCUCAUUCACUGUCUCCACCCACCUCCUGAUGUGACCCAGAACACAUUCCUUUUAUAAGCCCCAUGUACAAGCUUGCUCAGAGGGCCACAGUCUUGAUGGUGUCAUGAAGAAGAAAAGAAAUGGCAACAGCUCACAAUUCAGUUCCCACAUAUGCAAAAAAACACAAAAGGGGGAAAUAUUGCUUCUGACUCUUGGUUCUGCAGUAGAGAUGUCAACAAAUUACAUGACAAUUCUGAACAGCUCUCUGACUCAGGGCAUCUAUUAGGAUCCUCUGUGUAACUGUUGUCCUCUGGGAGCUUGACUUGAGCUGGAAGUCCACGAUGGCUCUACUGACAGAGUGGGCAUCGCAGCGAAGUUGGCUGUGAGGUAGCUGGGCCACUUUCCUACAUUGUAGUCAACCUGGGUUUUGCCUCAUGAACAAAUAAAAGCAGAAGUUGUCAGACCUCAUAAGUGCUGGGCCUAGAACUUGCACAACAUAGUUUCCAUCACAUUCUAUAUGUAACAACAAAUCAGAAGGCACAACGGGAAGGGAAAUAGAUUUCAUGCUUGAUGGGAGAAGCAGCCUGCUAAUGUAGGGAGAGGGUGAGUAUUUGGCAAGCUUCUUCACAGUUUACUACAUUUUUUUCUAUUUUGUCUAAUCCCUUUAUUUAUCAGCUAAGACAGUUCUUAAUGACAAAUACACACCACAACUGUAUAACUAACAUAUUUAGCAACAAAACACUUUAUAAUUUCUAUGCAUAGUAAUAUGUACCCAUAAGUAAUAUUUUCCACAUCAUCAAAGAACCAGUGAUGAAAUCAUUAUAAAAUGCUGUGGUAAGAAAGGUGUAGGGAGGGGAGUGUGAACUGAUUUUCUUUUAAAUCCUUUCUUUUUAAUUCCCUUUUGGAAAGUCACAGUGCAUAUAAGUGUAGAAAAAAAAUUCUAGUAGUACUAAAGGAAAAGUACUUGUUUUUAAAAGGAAUUUGGGCUAGCUUCCCUUCAUAUUUACCUAUGUUGAGAUGAUUUCUUCACUUUGCUUUGAGGUGCUUUAAAGAAACUUUUAGUCAGGUGUUCCAUAAUAAGAGAAUUAUGUGAUGCCCACACAAAUAACCCAAUCAAUAAAUGGGCAAAAGUAGCAAAUAGUCUUUUCUCAAAAGAAGAAACACAAAUGGACAAUACAUGAAAAAAUGUUCAACAUCCCUAGCAAUCAAGGAAAUGCAAAUCAAAACUACAUUGUGAUUUCAUCUCACCCAAGCUAAAAUGGCAAUCAUCAAGCAUAGAAAUAAUAAUAAAUGCUGACAAGGAUAUGGGAAAAAGAUGCACUCAUAUAUUGUUGGUGGGAUUUCAAAUUAGUACAACCACUUUGGAAAACAGUAUGAAGAUAUUUUGAAAAUCUAGGAAUGAAACCACCAUCUGAUUCAGCCAUUCCACUUCCUGAUAUUUAUCCAAAAGAAGUAAAAUCUUCAUACUAUAGUGACACAUGCAUACCAAUGCUUAUAGCAAUAUAGUUCACAACAUUUAAAUUAUGGAAGCAUCCCAGAUGCCUGUCAACAGAUAAAUGGAUUAAAAAAACCUGUGGUAUAUAUUUACAUAUGGAGUUUUACUCAGUCAUAAAGAAGAAUAAAAUUAUGGAAUUUGCCAGUAAAUGGAUAGAACUAGAGAACAUCAUGCUAAGUGAAAUAAGUCAGAUGCAGAAAUUCAAGGGUCAAAUGUUUUAUCUCAUAUGUGGAAGCUAGAGCAAAACAAGGGGAAAAUCAUGGGAGACGCCAUGAAAAUAGAAGGUAGGUCAAUGGAGUA